GCGCGAGUAGUUCAGCGGUUAAUCUGAAUGAUCCGUAGAUAAUUCGGCCUUGCCAAGGCUGAGACCCGAGAAAUAGCUCUUUAGGGAGUUAUUGGGGAUUUCGAAUCUCGGCUCGCGCACCA
rnacentral:tRNA from 1 species